rnacentral:rRNA from 1 species
UAGGGAAUAUUGGACAAUGGGGGCAACCCUGAUCCAGCCAUGCCGCGUGAGUGAAGAAGGCCCUCGGGUUGUAAAGCUCUUUUGUCCGGAAAGAAAAGCAUUCGGUGAAUACCCGGAUGUUCUGACGGUACCGGAAGAAUAAGCGCCGGCUAACUUCGUGCCAGCAGCCGCGGUAAUACGACGGGUGCAAGCGUUACUCGGAAUUACUGGGCGUAAAGCGUGCGUAGGUGGUUGUUUAAGUCUGAUGUGAAAGCCCUGGGCUCAACCUGGGAAUGGCAGUGGAAACUGGGCAGCUAGAGUGCGGUAGAGGGUAGUGGAAUUCCCGGUGUAGCAGUGAAAUGCGUAGAGAUCGGGAGGAACAUCUGUGGCGAAGGCGACUGCCUGGACCAGCACUGACACUGAGGCACGAAAGCGUGGGGAGCAAACA